rnacentral:rRNA from 1 species
AUGUUAGUUAAAUUGAUGAAGAUUAAUUCUGUCUUUUAAUAAUUAGUUGAUUUGUAUAAUAUUAUAUAUAAGUUCUUGCGUGUGUUAAUUUGUUUUGUCUAAAGGAUAAAAAUAAUUUUUAAUUGUAGUUUUUAUUUUUGAAUAUUGCAUAAAUGUAGAUUCAGUUAAUUCUUUUAAGGGUUGUUAAAGGGUGUGCCAGCAUACGCGGUUAAACAUCCAACCCAGAUUAAUUUUUUUGGUUUUUAUUUAUUU